UACGUAGGGAGCAAGCGUUGUCCGGAAUCAUUGGGCGUAAAGCGCGCGUAGGCGCCCGAUAAGUCCGCUGUGAAAGUCAACGGCUCAACUGUUGGAUGCCGGUGGAUACUGUCGGGCUAGAGUACGGAAGAGGCAAGUGGAAUUCCUGGUGUAGCGGUGGAAUGCGCAGAGUAUCAGGAGGAACACCGGUGGCGAAGGCGGAUCUCUGGGCCGUAAAC
rnacentral:rRNA from 1 species